rnacentral:lncRNA from 1 species
GUUCUCUUCUUCUUCUUUUUCUUCUUGUAUACAAUAGUCUAUCGACAUUCGAUGAUUACAUACUGUUGGCAUACGUGGACUAGUCUAUUUACAAAUCUUUUACCCCAAUUUAUUCAAAAUAUAUGUUUUUUUCUUAUGUUCAAUGUAUACAUGUAUAUAUUUUAAAUUGCGCUAUAGUUCCGUAACUUUCUACCCAGUCGUAUAAACGAAUCGUCGACAAGUGCGUACAUUUUUUUAAAUCAAUAUUUCUGGUAUGUUCCAAUCUGUCCUUCACUAUUGACAAUAAGUAUAUAUUACAUUUUCCCAAAUUCACCCUUGGAAAAAAUAUUUAAAUAGAGUUUAAUUUC